CCGAGUUCUCCCAAACGUGUAUUCAGUGUUGCGGGAAAAAUGUGGCCAGUGCAAUUGAUGGGCCGAGCGGGACUGCGUGUUUGCGUGUAUGGUGAGUGAUGAAUUUGAAACGCUCAAAUAAUGAAAUUGCGGUUGUUGAAUAUAUAGCGGAAAAGAAAUCGGAACAGGCAACUUUUACAUGACGCAGCAGCAGUAGUAGCAAAUCAUGAGCGUCCAGAACAGUUUGCGACCAGGUACGAAGGUACAAUUUCAUUUGCUUUAUUUUCCUACACCAGAAAAACGGUGUCUAGCACCUUGUUUGGUAACAGUUAGAUGUAAUAUUUGACGAGGAGUUUUACCGCACGGGUGAAUCCUAGGUGUUGGUAAAUAUUGAAAUUAAUUAAGCAGCCGUCGGAUGUGGAAUUUACGGUUAUGGUUGUACGUUGGUGGUAUCGGUUAUGCAUCAUGAAUCGAGUCAUAAGUUAAUUAAGCCAUCCUCUUGAAUGUUAUGUUGAAUAAGUCAAUCCAUUUCAACGCAUCCGUUGCUCUAGCUUCGACUGCAAUAGUACGAACCGGGAAGAUGCUCCUUUGCUGGGAGUUUGGUGCAACUAAUGAUGACCAGCUGAAAGCGAAUGUCGACCAUCAACGCUGCAGGGAAAAGCAAUUUGUGCGUUGGUCUGAUUGGUACGGGAGUUUGUUUUCCUCAAACUCACAGCCGCAUCCUAUUAUUUUUGGUCCAUUUCCGGACCAAACGAGUCACAGACGUUAGGAAAGAUAGGGUAUUUCCGUUGGGGAUAAGUAAUGCAUUUGAUCCUGCUCGGUAUAAGACCAAAAGUCAUAGGGAAAUGAGAUGUAGUCAUUAUUUUCACCGGUUGGUUUGUAAAUGAGCAGACGUUGCCAUCUGGGUGGUUGCAUUUAACGACGUAGAUCAAAGCCCAGAAGAGAAGUUGAUGGUAAAAGAUGGUAGAUCACGUUAAACGUUAGAACAGCAACUUUAGGAAGGAACUCUGACUUUCUAAUAAUACAUGAAUUAGAUGGAGUUAUUAGAUGAAAAAAUCUUUAGUUUCAUGCAAAAUCAAAUUUGUUGAACUUAUGUGUCAAGCGAUAGUGUUAAUAAGAAAAGUUCAAACAUUUACACGCUAGCUUCCAUUGUUGCAAAAAAAACGCUUUAUUAUCAAUAAA